UACGGGGGGGGGCAAGCGUUGUUCGGAAUUACUGGGCGUAAAGGGCGCGUAGGCGGCCUGCUAAGUCACACGUGAAAUCCCUCGGCUCAACCGGGGAACUGCGUGUGAUACUGGCGGGCUUGAAUUCGGGAGAGGGAUGUGGAAUUCCAGGUGUAGCGGUGAAAUGCGUAGAUAUCUGGAGGAACACCGGUGGCGAAGGCGGCAUCCUGGACCGGUAUUGACGCUGAGGCGCGAAAGCCAGGGGAGCAAAGCGGGG
rnacentral:rRNA from 1 species